AAAUACUUUUAUAAACAGAGGAGGCUCUCUCCCUCUCUCCUUCAGGCUCAAAGUCAUACUUUGGAAACUUCAGAAGAGCUGAGAACCCAGUGGGGAGAAGGGGGCAGCUCGGAACUUCACGGACAAAGCGCGAAGUGCUGUGUCGGAUGAACGGGAAGCUGGGGUGGAGGGCACCGACCGGGGGAUGCCGCUUGCCGAAAGAAGUCCUGCACGACAGCGUGGGGGAUUGCUCUCUGCUGUUGUCGAGGAUCCUGGGCAUUCAGGCAAACAGUUGAUUCCUUUAAAACAAAUCCACCUGAUUCCCUGACUCAACACAGCCUCCGCAUGCUUUCCUUCAUUUUAUUUUGGGGGAAAUGCAAAGUGUUGCAGGUGUCUUCCCCUACCCUCUACCUUGAUCUGGCCUGGGCAGUUAUGGCUUUAUUCCCGUGCCAGACGGGGAGCCAGUUCAUUGCAGUUGGAUUUGCAGAUCCAGAAUUCCAUGACAGCUCUGAUAGCAGCCGGGUUCACAGUCGGGGUGCCCUUAUACUUGCAUAGUUUGUGAAUUAAAACUGACAGUGGUUCGUG